GUCGUAUUAAUGAUAUCCGGACCGAUCUCAACAAUCUUGUCGGCAAUAACGAAAUGUGUUACCGUGUGUACUUUACAUAUUAUUAUAUAAUGACCACUUACCGUUAAAACAACAGCGUAUUACAUUUGGUGAACGUACUAGGCGUUGAUUUUUGAACGCUAGGCAUUUAUCGUCGGUAUAUCCACGUGAAUUUUACCAAGAGAACAACAGAUAAUGCAAAAAGGAAAAAACAUGUGUUGAUUUUUGAUACGAAACGACGAGAGGUAUAAUUUCCAAAAAAAAAAAACAUCUUUUUGGUAGUUUAAUGGAUUUCGGGAAAAUACAAUGAUAGAUCUUAACAUUUAAUCACAAAAUUAUUCUUGGGUUUUGGACGAAAAAGACCGGCCGGGGAUAUCAUUAUUUGCAUAGAAUUAAUUUUUAUUGGUGUAUUUUAUUUUCGUCGUUUAAUUUCGUUUGCAUUGUAAAUUUUUAAAGUUCGUGACAGUGCUUUAGACAACAUGCACAUUGGUCUUCUACGCUCCAACACCCCUUAUGCUUCCCAGUACACAUUAAAAAUGCUCUUUUACGGUGCCAACGAUCACAUGAUCGUCGACAACAUAAACAAUGAUGAUGAUUAAUACUUUUCUUACAUAAUUUGUAACCUUUCUGACAUCUUGGCAGUGAUCUCCCACUGAGGCUUUCGUAAUGUGCACUUACAGUUGUUAAGGCUAUGGUCAGUAAAAUAAAAUAUAGCCAAAAGCAUACAUAAUUGAAAUUCAUU